GGUAAAAUGGCUGAUUAAGGCGAUAAAUUGUAAAUUUAUUUAUGAUAAGAAUCUUUUGCUG
rnacentral:tRNA from 1 species